UCCGGUUUGACACCGGCAGUCUCCCAUGAGUCCCCAGCCGAACUGCUGGCAACAUGGGAUAGGGGUUGCGCUCGUUGCGGGACUUAACCCAACAUCUCACGACACGAGCUGACGACGGCCAUGCAGCACCUGUCACUUGGUUCCAAAAGGCACUCACCUCUUUCGAAGUAAUUCCAAGGAUGUCAAACCCUGGUAAGGUUCUUCGCUUACCAUCGAAUUAAAGAACACGCUCCACCGCUUGUGCGGGUCCCCGUCAAUUCCUUUAUGUUUUAGUCUUGCGACCGUACUCCACAGGCGGGAUACUUAACGCGUUAGCUUCGCUACGGAAGGGGUCGAUACCUCCCACAGCUAGUAUCCAUAGUUUACGGCGUGGACUAC
rnacentral:misc_RNA from 1 species